rnacentral:rRNA from 1 species
GAUGAACGCUGGCGGCGUGCCUAAUACAUGCAAGUCGAGCGAAGAGAGGAAGGGUGAGUAACACGGGGAUAACCUCCUAUAAGACUGGGAUAACUUCGGGAAACCGGAGCUAUACCGGAUACUUAUAGAUAGAUGCGCACUGCAUUUGCUAGUUGGUAAGGUAACGGCUUACAUAGGCAACGAUGCAUAGCCGACCUGAGAGGGUGAUCGUCCACACUGGAACUGAGACACGGUCCAGACUCCGACGGGAGGCAGCAGUAGGGAAUCGUCGGCAAUGGGCGAAAGCCUGACGGAGCAAUGCCGCGUGAGUGAUGAAGGUCUUCGGAUCGUAAAACUCUGUUAUUAGGGAAGCGGUACAUAAUCAGAAAGCCAUGGCUAAAUAAGUGCCAGCAGCCGCGGUAAUAC